CACGUAGGGCGCAAGCGUUGUCCGGAAUUAUUGGGCGUAAAGAGCUCGUAGGCGGUCUGUUGCGUCCGCUGUGAAAACUCGGGGCUUAACCCCGAGCCUGCAGUGGAUACGGGCAGACUAGAGGUAGGUAGGGGAGAAUGGAAUUCCCGGUGUAGCGGUGAAAUGCGCAGAUAUCGGGAGGAACACCGGUGGCGAAGGCGGCCCACUGGGCAGUCACUGACGCUGAGGCGCGAAAGCUCGGGGAGCGAACGGG
rnacentral:rRNA from 1 species